rnacentral:rRNA from 1 species
UUCCGGUUGAUCCUGCCGGACCCUACUGCUAUCGGGGUGGGACUAAGACAUGCGAGUUGAGCGUCUCUAAGCUAUGGUAGAGACGCGGCGUACGGCUCAGUAACACGUGGCUAACCUACCCUUAGGACGGGGACAACCCCGGGAAACUGGGGCUAAUACCCGAUAGGCGAGGAGGCCUGGAAUGGUUCUUAGUCGAAAAGGCGUUGGAACCAUGCUUUUCGACGUCGCCUAAGGAUGGGGCCGCGCCCGAUCAGGUUGUUGGUGGGGUAACGGCUCACCAAGCCUAUAACCGGUACGGGCCGUGAGAGCGGGAGCCCGGAGAUGGGCACUGAGACAAGGGCCCAGGCCCUACGGGGCGCAGCAGUCGCGAAAACUCCGCAAUGCGCGAAAGCGUGACGGGGCUACCCCGAGUGCCGUCCGCUGAGGAUGGCUUUUCUCCGGUGUAAUGAGCCGGGGGAAUAAGGAGAGGGCAAGUCUGGUGUCAGCCGCCGCGGUAAUACCAGCUCUCCGAGUGGUAGGGAUGAUUAUUGGGCUUAAAGCGUCCGUAGCCGGCUUAGCAAGUCUCCUGUUAAAUUCAGCGACCUAAUCGUUGAGCCGCGGGAGAUACUACUAGGCUAGGAGGCGGGAGAGGCCGACGGUAUUCUCGGGGUAAGGGUGAAAUCCUAUAAUCCCGGGAGGACCACCAGUGGCGAAGGCUGUCGGCUAGAACGCGCUCGACGGUGAGGGACGAAAGCUGGGGGAGCGAACCGGAUUAGAUACCCGGGUAGUCCCAGCUGUAAACGAUGCGGGCUAGGUGUUGGGGUGGCUACGAGCCACUUCAGUGCCGCAGGGAAGCCAUUAAGCCCGCCGCCUGGGGAGUACGGCCGCAAGGCUGAAACUUAAAGGAAUUGGCGGGGGAGCACCACAAGGCGUGAAGCUUGCGGUUCAAUUGGAUUCAACGCCGGG